CAAUAGCGUAUAUUUAAGUUGUUGCAGUUAAAGAGCUCGUAGUUGGAUUUCGGGUGUGAACGACCGGUCCGUCUUUGAUGUGUACUGGUUGGUUGCGCCUUAUUGUCGAGGACGUGGUUCUAGCUUUCAUUAGCCGGGACACGGAGUCGGCAGCGUUACUUUGAGAAAAUUAGAGUGUUCAAAGCAGGCUAUCGCUCUGAAUACUACAGCAUGGAAUAACACGAUAGGACUCCGAGCCUAUUCUGUUGGUCUUCGGGACCGGAGUAAUGAUUAAGAGGGACAGUUGGGGGCAUUCGUAUUCCGAUGUCAGAGGUGAAAUUCUUGGAUUAUCGGAAGACGAGCAUCUGCGAAAGCAUUUGCCAAGGAUGUUUUCAUUAA
rnacentral:rRNA from 1 species